UGAGGUCACGGUGUUGCUCCAGGUGCUUCGGCUGGGCCCCGCUGACACGCACCUGUCCCUGAGGGUGAGGAGCCCCGGGGCCGGCUGUGUUAGCCGCUGUCCUCCGCUCACCGUCCCGGCUCAGCGUCCCACCGUCCCGGCUCACCGCUGCUCAGAGGUUCUCCAGAAGCAGGGGGCAGAUGGUUCCUGUGGUGCUCAGGAGGCCGAUUGUGGCCAAGGAGGCUGAUGGGGUUGACGGGGACUGGAGAUGGAUGGCUCAGAGAUCACACACACUCACCCGCAGCGGAGAACAGCGUAGCUGGGCGGGCCAAGUCGUGGGGGUGAUGGAUGCCGCUAAACAGGCCA